rnacentral:tRNA from 1 species
AGUUUAUGAACUUGAUUAAGUAAAUGUUUUGAAAACAUUAAAUAGAAAUUCAAUUUUUCUAUAAACUU